rnacentral:lncRNA from 1 species
ACAAACUAUAUUCACUUUUUGAAAAGGGAAAACUUCAAAAACCCACCAUGUAGUUUCACACUUUUUUAUUUUAAUACCUUAUAGUUUAAAGUGUUAUCAAGUUAGUACCAUGUGGUUUCUCAUCACUUUAGUACCCUAUAGUUUAAAGUGUAUCAAUUUAGUACCCUAUGGUUUUGCACUUUAUCACUUUAGUACCCUGUGGUUUCACACUUUAUCACUUUAGUACUUUAUAGUUAAAAAAACUAUAGGAUACUAACUUGAUACAAAAUUAAAACCCCAAGAUACUAAAAUGAUAAAGUGUAAAACCACAGGGUACUAACUUGAUACACUUUAAAUCACAGAAUACUAAAAUGAUAAAGUAAGAAACCAUAGGGUACUAAUUUGAUACAUUUUAAAUCAUAAAAUACUAAAGUGAAAAAAAUUAAAACCACAAGGAGAAUUUUUGAAGUUUUCCCUUUUUUUUUCGUAAUCAAGUCUCAAUCGUCUCAAUUUCUGUUAACUUCAAUAAAAUGAACCACAUUAAUUCUAAUAAAGCCCUUUUUAAGUCAUAGAAGAGAAGUAAAAAAAAAUUGACCGAGCAACUAAUCCUACAAAGAUUAAGAAUCUUAUUAAAAAAAAUAAUUAUCGAUCAUUAUUAGCGUAAGUGACAAAGCACUUAAUAGCUUCAGCUAAUUUAUAUUUUCAAAAAAUAAACAAAAUGAGUAGUAUAUUAUUUUUAAAAAAAUAAGGAUAACUUCAAAAACUCCCCUUGUGGUUUCCAACUUUUUCACUUUAGUACCCUGUGAUUUAAAGUGUAUCAAUUUGUCCCCCUGUGGUUUCGUUUUUUUCUUUUUUUUAUCAAUUUUAUUAUUUUUUUUUUCUCAAAUCAGCAACAAAAUUAAAAUUAAAGGGUACUAAAGUAAAUAUUCGGUAAAUUAGAUAGAUAUCUGAUAUUUUUUUGCAUAUAAUUUAAUGAAAUAUUAAGAAAAAAGCUAUAGAAAAAAUAAAAACAAAACCACAGGGGGGCAAAUUGAUACACUUUAAACUAUAGGGUACUAAAGUGAGAAAGUUGGAAACCACAGGAGAGGUUUUUGAAGUUUUACCAAAAAAAAUAUUAAAAGAA